rnacentral:rRNA from 1 species
UACGUAGGUGGCAAGCGUUAUCCGGAUUUAUUGGGCGUAAAGGGAACGCAGGCGGUCUUUUAAGUCUGAUGUGAAAGCCUUCGGCUUAACCGGAGUAGUGCAUUGGAAACUGGGAGACUUGAGUGCAGAAGAGGAGAGUGGAACUCCAUGUGUAGCGGUGAAAUGCGUAGAUAUAUGGAAGAACACCAGUGGCGAAAGCGGCUCUCUGGUCUGUAACUGACGCUGAGGUUCGAAAGCGUGGGUAG